rnacentral:rRNA from 1 species
UUUAAAGAGAGUUUGAUCCUGGCUCAGGACGAACGCUGGCGGCGUGCCUAAUACAUGCAAGUCGAACGAACGGAGGAAGAGCUUGCUCUUCCAAAGUUAGUGGCGGACGGGUGAGUAACACGUGGGCAACCUGCCUGUAAGUUGGGGAUAACUCCGGGAAACCGGGGCUAAUACCGAAUGAUAAAGUGUGGCGCAUGCCACGCUUUUGAAAGAUGGUUUCGGCUAUCGCUUACAGAUGGGCCCGCGGUGCAUUAGCUAGUUGGUAGGGUAAUGGCCUACCAAGGCAACGAUGCAUAGCCGACCUGAGAGGGUGAUCGGCCACACUGGGACUGAGACACGGCCCAGACUCCUACGGGAGGCAGCAGUAGGGAAUCUUCCGCAAUGGACGAAAGUCUGACGGAGCAACGCCGCGUGUAUGAAGAAGGUUUUCGGAUCGUAAAGUACUGUUGUUAGAGAAGAACAAGGAUAAGAGUAACUGCUUGUCCCUUGACGGUAUCUAACCAGAAAGCCACGGCUAACUACGUGCCAGCAGCCGCGGUAAUACGUAGGUGGCAAGCGUUGUCCGGAUUUAUUGGGCGUAAAGCGCGCGCAGGCGGUCUUUUAAGUCUGAUGUGAAAGCCCCCGGCUUAACCGGG